rnacentral:rRNA from 1 species
UACAGAGGGUGCGAGCGUUGUCCGGAAUCACUGGGCGUAAAGGGCUCGUAGGCGGCCAACUAAGUCAGACGUGAAAUCCCUCGGCUUAACCGGGGAACUGCGUCUGAUACUGGAUGGCUUGAAUCCGGGAGAGGGAUGCGGAAUUCCAGGUGUAGCGGUGAAAUGCGUAGAUAUCUGGAGGAACACCGGUGGCGAAGGCGGCAUCCUGGACCGGCAUUGACGCUGAGGAGCGAAAGCCAGGGGAGCAAACGGG